rnacentral:rRNA from 1 species
UUGAACGCUGGCGGCAGGCCUAACACAUGCAAGUCGCGCGGAUGAAGGGAGCUUGCUCCUGGAUUCAGCGGCGGACGGGUGAGUAAUGCCUAGGAAUCUGCCUGGUAGUGGGGGAUAACGUCCGGAAACGGGCGCUAAUACCGCAUACGUCCUGAGGGAGAAAGUGGGGGAUCUUCGGACCUCACGCUAUCAGAUGAGCCUAGGUUGGAUUAGCUAGUUGGUGGGGUAAAGGCCUACCAAGGCGACGAUCCGUAACUGGUCUGAGAGGAUGAUCAGUCACACUGGAACUGAGACACGGUCCAGACUCCUACGGGAGGCAGCAGUGGGGAAUAUUGGACAGUGGGCGAAAGCCUGAUCCAGCCAUGCCGCGUGUGUGAAGAAGGUCUUCGGAUUGUAAAGCACUUUAAGUUGGGAGGAAGGGCAGUAAGUUAAUGCCUUGCUGUUUUGACGUUACCAACAGAAUAAGCACCGGCUAACUUCGUG